rnacentral:rRNA from 1 species
GAUGAACGCUGGCGGCGUGCCUAACACAUGCAAGUCGAGCGAACGGACGAGAAGUUUGCUUCGCUGAUGUUAGCCGCGGACGGGUGUGUAACACGUGGAUAACCUACCUAUAUGACUGGGAUAACUUGGGGAAAGCGGAGCUAAUCCCGGAUAAUAUUUUGAACCGCAUGGUUCAAAAGUGAAAGACGGUCUUGCGGUCACUUAUAGAUGGAUCCGCGCUGCAUUAGCUAGUUGGUAAGGUAAAGGGCUACCAAGGCAACGAUGCAUGACCGACCGGCGAGGGUGAUCGGCCACACUGGAGCUUAGACACGGUCCAGACUCCUAAGGGAGGCAGCAGUAGGGAAUCUGCGGCAAAGGGCGGAAGCCUGACGGAACAACGCCGCGUGAGUGAUAGAGGUCUUCGGAGCGUAAAACUCGGUUAUUAGGGAAAAACAUAUUUGUAAGUAACUGUGCACAGCGUGACGGUAACUAAUAAGAAAGCCACGGCUAACUACGUG